rnacentral:rRNA from 1 species
AAUAGAUACCCGGGUAGUCCAUGCCGUAAACGUUGGGCACUAGGUGUGGGGGACAUUCCACAUUUUCCGCGCCGUAGCUAACGCAUUAAGUGCCCCGCCUGGGGAGUACGGCCGCAAGGCUAAAACUCAAAGGAAUUGACGGGGGCCCGCACAAGCGGCGGAGCAUGCGGAUUAAUUCGAUGCAACGCGAAGAACCUUACCAAGGCUUGACAUGGACCGGACCGCCGCAGAAAUGUGGUUUCCCCUUUGGGGCCGGUUUACAGGUGGUGCAUGGUUGUCGUCAGCUCGUGUCGUGAGAUGUUGGGUUAAGUCCCGCAACGAGCGCAACCCUCGUUCUAUGUUGCCAGCGGUUCGGCCGGGGACUCAUAGGAGGCUGCCGGGGUCAACUCGGAGGAAGGUGGGACGACGUCAAAUCAUCAUGCCCCUUAUGUCUUGGGCUUCACGCAUGCUACAAUGGCCGGUACAAAGGGUUGCGAUACUGUGAGGUGGAGCUAAUCCCAAAAGCCGGUCUCAGUUCGGAUUGGGGUCUGCAACUCGACCCCAUGAAGUCGG